UUCAAAGACGUUUCUAAAGAAAUUGAUAUGGGCUUUAUGGAACAUCUCUAGAAACGAUCGUUCUUCUGACAGUUACCAGAUUAUCAGGUGCCCACCAGUUGUUGCCAGUCUUGCAGGCCCCUAACUGCUACUCAACAGCAUGAUGUUGCUCCCACUAUACCCUGGACUCAGUGACAUCCAGGAGGACCUCAGCUGGCUGAUUCCAGGAUGCUUGGUGGCCAUAUGGUUUGGGAAAUGACUUAAGAAGAUAAGUGCCAAACUUCAACUUUUUUACAGGUAAA